rnacentral:tRNA from 1 species
GGGCCGGUAGCUCAGCCUGGUAGAGCACCUGUCAAACGAUCAGGUGGUCGCGAGUCCGAAAUGCCCAGUUAGCAUGUCUAGCUGGUUUGCACGCAACUCUCGUCCGGCCCA